rnacentral:lncRNA from 1 species
UUUUUAUUAUUGAUGUUGGUUAAGACUUAAGAUUCAUUUUAAUUUCAAUUGAACCUAACCAAACUCAAUCAAUUUUUUUCGGUGUUUUAAUGCUAGAACUAGGAUAAGAUAUGCGUCUUGCGCAAGGUGAGUUUAUUUGUAUAUAUUAUCGAUAAUGUUUUUUAUAUAUUUGAUCAUUUUAUUUAUACAUAUAUAAUGUUAUUUGUUAUAUAACUACCAACUUAUUUUUCUAAGGAUUUUGAAAUUGAUUCUCGUGAUGACACGUGUCAUGGUUCAAAUGUUGUAAUGUUUCUUUUUUAAUAUAUAGGGGAUAUUAAUAAUACAAUGCAUUGGCCACAAAGACUUAACCAACAUAUUUUUAUGGACCUGCCUCACACAAUUAUUAAUAUUUCCAUCGGCAGCUUUCCCUUGAAAAAAAAUGAUAAAAAAAAAAAAUUUGUUUAACAUAAAUACCAAAACUGGUAAUGAUUGAUUUAACAUAUCCCUAUAUUAAUUUGUGAUAUGAACUGGUUAAAUUUUAAAGCAGUACUUUUUGAAACACAUGAAACUCAAAAGUAAUCUGCCUUUUUUAUAUACUUCACUUACAGUAAUAAUUACAUGAUUUUACAACAAAAAUUCUCUAGAACAAAUUGAAGAAGGACCUCCCAACCAUUCAUGCAAAUAGAUAUAGUUAUG